rnacentral:rRNA from 1 species
UACGGGGGGAGCAAGCGUUGUUCGGAUUUACUGGGCGUAAAGGGCGCGUAGGCGGUCAGCACAAGUCAGUUGUGAAAUCUCCGGGCUUAACUCGGAAAGGUCAACUGAUACUGUGCGACUAGAGUGCGGAAGGGGCAACUGGAAUUCCCGGUGUAGCGGUGAAAUGCGCAGAUAUCGAGAGGAACACCUGCGGCGAAGGCGGGUUGCUGGGCUGACACUGACGCUGAUGCGCGAAAGCCAGGGGAGCGAACGGG